rnacentral:rRNA from 1 species
GACGAACGCUGGCGGCGUGCUUAACACAUGCAAGUCGAACGGAAAGGCCCUGCUUUUGUGGGGUGCUCGAGUGGCGAACGGGUGAGUAACACGUGAGUAACCUGCCCUUGACUUUGGGAUAACUUCAGGAAACUGGGGCUCAUACCGGAUAGGAGCUCCUGCUGCAUGGUGGGGGUUGGAAAGUUUCGGCGGUUGGGGAUGGACUCGCGGCUUAUCAGCUUGUUGGUGGGGUAGUGGCUUACCAAGGCUUUGACGGGUAGCCGGCCUGAGAGGGUGACCGGACACAUUGGGACUGAGAUACGGCCCAGACUCCUACGGGAGGCAGCAGUGGGGAAUAUUGCACAAUGGGCGGAAGCCUGAUGCAGCAACGCCGCGUGCGGGAUGACGGCCUUCGGGUUGUAAACCGCUUACGCCUGUGACGAAGCGUGAGUGACGGUAAUGGGUAAAGAAGCACCGGCUAACUACGUG